UACGUAGGGUGCAAGCGUUAAUCGGAAUUACUGGGCGUAAAGCGUGCGCAGGCGGUUUUGUAAGUCUGUCGUGAAAUCCCCGGGCUCAACCUGGGAAUUGCGUUGGAGACUGCAAGGCUAGAAUCUGGCAGAGGGGGGUAGAAUUUCACGUGUAGCAGUGAAAUGCGUAGAGAUGUGGAGGAACACCGAUGGCGAAGGCAACCCCCUGGGUCAAGAUUUACGCU
rnacentral:rRNA from 1 species